UGGGGAAUAUUGGACAAUGGGGGCAACCCUGAUCCAGCCAUGCCGCGUGUGUGAAGAAGGCCUUCGGGUUGUAAAGCACUUUAAGCAGGGAAGAAAAGCCGGCGGCGAAUAACCGACCGGUCUUGACGGUACCUGCAGAAUAAGCACCGGCUAACUCCGUGCCAGCAGCCGCGGUAAUACGGAGGGUGCGAGCGUUAAUCGGAUUCACUGGGCGUAAAGCGUGCGUAGGCGGUCGAGUAUGUCGGAUGUGAAAGCCCCGGGCUUAACCUGGGAAUGGCAUUCGAAACUGCUUGGCUAGAGUGUGGUAGAGGAAGGUGGAAUUCCAGGUGUAGCGGUGAAAUGCGUAGAUAUCUGGAGGAACAUCGAUGGCGAAGGCAACCUUCUGGGCCACAACUGACGCUGAGGUACGAAAGCGUGGGGAGCAAACAGGAUUAGAUACCCCCGUAGUCC
rnacentral:rRNA from 1 species